AGCAGUAGCCGCGGGAAUACAGAGGGUGCAAGCGUUAAUCGGAAUUACUGGGCGUAAAGCGCGCGUAGGUGGUUUGUUAAGUUGGAUGUGAAAUCCCCGGGCUCAACCUGGGAACUGCAUCCAAAACUGGCAAGCUAGAGUAUGGUAGAGGGUGGUGGAAUUUCCUGUGUAGCGGUGAAAUGCGUAGAUAUAGGAAGGAACACCAGUGGCGAAGGCGACCACCUGGACUGAUACUGACACUGAGGUGCGAAAGCGUGGGGAGCAAACAGGAUUAGAUACCCGAGUAGUCCCUGUCUCUUAUAA
rnacentral:rRNA from 1 species